AAAGUCGUAACAAGGUUUCCGUAGGUGAACCUGCGGAAGGAUCAUUAUUGAAUUUAUUCUUUCUAUCAAUGUGCACGAACAAUGAUUGAGAUAUCGAUUUAAUUCGAUACUCAUCAUAUACUUUUUUACAUGAGUUAAUUUACAAGUAAUACUUUAAAGUAUCCAAUACAACUUUUAGCAAUGGAUCUCUUGGCUCUC
rnacentral:misc_RNA from 1 species